rnacentral:rRNA from 1 species
ACGAACGCUGGCGGCAGGCCUAACACAUGCAAGUCGAACGGGAUCUUCGGAUCUAGUGGCGGACGGGUGAGUAACGCGUGGGAACGUGCCCUUUGGUUCGGAAUAGCCUCGGGAAACUGGGAGUAAUACCGGAUAAGCCCUUCGGGGGAAAGAUUUAUCGCCAAAGGAUCGGCCCGCGUUGGAUUAGGUAGUUGGUGGGGUAAUGGCCUACCAAGCCGACGAUCCAUAGCUGGUUUGAGAGGAUGAUCAGCCACACUGGGACUGAGACACGGCCCAGACUCCUACGGGAGGCAGCAGUGGGGAAUCUUAGACAAUGGGGGAAACCCUGAUCUAGCCAUGCCGCGUGAGCGAUGAAGGCCUUAGGGUUGUAAAGCUCUUUCAGUGGGGAAGAUAAUGACGGUACCCACAGAAGAAGCCCCGGCUAACUCCGU